rnacentral:rRNA from 1 species
AUGGCUUCUUCCGGUUCCGUGACGAGGCCACCGUGUGCUAACCGCAAGGACAUGCGGGACAAGUGGACAGACGCCGAGUUGGAUAAGGUGAAGGACAAAGAUAUGAGAACUCCAUCAUGUUGGUGUGGAGAUGUUUGCAAAGUUAAGGUAUCCACCGACCGCAAGAAAUCAUGGACGGAAGGAAGAAGAUAUUUUGUUUGUCCCAACUAUGCCUACGAUCGUCCUCGUCCAGCUCACGCCUAUGAUGUACCGCCGGUAAGUUGUUCAAGUACAAACAUGUCGUCAACCAUUGAAUCUAUCUUGCUAAUGACCACAUUUGUUCUUUAUUCGUACCUAGUCGCCGCCUCCACUUUGUAA